GACGAACGCUGGCGGCGUGCUUAACACAUGCAAGUCGAACGGAAAGACCCUGCUUUUGUGGGGUGCUCGAGUGGCGAACAGGUGAGUAACACGUGAGUAACCUGCCCUUGACUUUGGGAUAACUUCAGGAAACUGGGGCUAAUACCGGAUAGGAGCUCCUGCUGCAUGGUGGGGGUUGGAAAGUUUCGGCGGUUGGGGAUGGACUCGCGGCUUAUCAGCUUGUUGGUGGGGUAGUGGCUUACCAAGGCUUUGACGGGUAGCCGGCCUGAGAGGGUGACCGGCCACAUUGGGACUGAGAUACGGCCCAGACUCCUACGGGAGGCAGCAGUGGGGAAUAUUGCACAAUGGGCGGAAGCCUGAUGCAGCAACGCCGCGUGCGGGAUGACGGCCUUCGGGUUGUAAACCGCUUUCGCCUGUGACGAAGCGUGAGUGACGGUAAUGGGUAAAGAAGCACCGGCUAACUACGUG
rnacentral:rRNA from 1 species